UACGAAGGGGGCUAGCGUUGUUCGGAAUUACUGGGCGUAAAGGGCGCGUAGGCGGUGUGUCAAGUCAGGCGUGAAAGCCCCGGGCUCAACCUGGGAACCGCGCUUGAGACUGGCACGCUCGAGUUCGGGAGAGGAUGGUGGAAUUCCCAGUGUAGAGGUGAAAUUCGUAGAUAUUUGGGAAGAACACCGAUGGCGAAGGCAGCCAUCUGGACCGACACUGACGCUGAGGCGCGGAAAGCGUGGGGAGCAAACAGG
rnacentral:rRNA from 1 species